rnacentral:rRNA from 1 species
AGCAGCCGCGGUAAUUCCAGCUCCAAUAGCGUAUAUUAAAGUUGUUGCAGUUAAAAAGCUCGUAGUUGAAUUUCGGGGUCAGUAGAUUGGUCGUGCCACUGGUAUGUACUGGUCUCACUGGCUCCUCCUUCCUGAUGAACCGUAAUGCCAUUAAUUUGGUGUUGCGGGGAGACUGGACUGUUACUUUGAAAAAAUUAGAGUGUUUAAAGCAGGCUAACGCUUGAAUACAUUAGCAUGGAAUAAUGAAAUAGGACGUUCGAUCUUAUUUUGUUGGUUUCUAAGAUUGACGUAAUGAUUAAUAGGGAUAGUUGGGGGCAUUAGUAUUCAAUUAUCAGAGGUGAAAUUCUUGGAUUUAU